rnacentral:lncRNA from 1 species
CAAUACUUUGCCAUGAGAUUUCAGUUUUUUUAAAAUAUCUAUUAAUUAUUUUUUGUUUCCUUUAGGAUGAGCUUCAAUAUUUUCAACAUGAGCUUUCAUUUUAUUUUUUUCAGACGAGACUUCAAUUCUUCUUUGGUUCCAUCGAGAUGAGUCUAUAAUUUUGACAUGAGAUUUCAAUCUUUUAAAGUUGAGCUUUAAACUUUGAUUCGGUUCUUCACUUGGACUUCAAUAGUAGACAUUCAAAAAAACUUUAACGAGUUUUCCUUUAUUAUUGAGUUGUUUUGAGAUGAGCUUCAGUAUUUCCAACAUGAACUUUCAAACAAAUUUACAUGAGAUUUUUAUGAUUUUGAGUUCCGUUGGGAUGAGCAUUUUAAUAUUUUGACAUGACAUUUACGGACGAACUUUAACUCCUUUUUAGUUUCUUCGAGACGAAUUUCAAUAUUUUUGGCAUGAACUUUCAAUUUAGAGGAGCUUUUGGAUUUGUUUUAAGUUACUUUUCAGAAACUUCUGAUUCUUUGGCUCAAAACUUGUUAAGUGUCCUUUCGAUUGCACUCAGCCCAAGUUUUUAUUCUGCCUUGUGCCUGUCUUCUUUUAUUAGCUUCUUAUUACCUGAAACAUAUUUUAACUUAGUAUCUCUCCUGCAGUUACUUCAUCAAGCUAUCCCUGGAUAAGAAAUAUGCUUUGCCGUACUGUGUUCUU